rnacentral:rRNA from 1 species
AGCGAACGCUGGCGGCAGGCCUAACACAUGCAAGUCGAACGAACCUUUCGGGGUUAGUGGCGGACGGGUGAGUAACACGUGGGAACGUGCCUUUAGGUUCGGAAUAACUCAGGGAAACUUGUGCUAAUACCGAAUGUGCCCUUCGGGGGAAAGAUUAAUCGCCUUUAGAGCGGCCCGCGUCUGAUUAGCUAGUUGGUUGAGGUAAUGGCUCACCAAGGCGACGAUCAGUAGCUGGUCUGAGAGGAUGAUCAGCCACAUUGGGACUGAGACACGGCCCAAACUCCUACGGGAGGCAGCAGUGGGGAAUCUUGCGCAAUGGGCGAAAGCCUGACGCAGCCAUGCCGCGUGAAUGAUGAAGGUCUUAGGAUUGUAAAAUUCUUUAACCGGGGACGAUAAUGACGGUACCCGGAGAAGAAGCCCCGGCUAACUUCGUG